rnacentral:rRNA from 1 species
GCUGAAGCUGGGUGCUUGCACCUGGUGGAUGAGUGGCGAACGGGUGAGUAAUACGUGAGUGACCUUCCUUGGACUCUGGGAUAAGCCCGGGAAACUGGGUCUAAUACCGGAUACGACCAGUCCUCGCAUGGGGUGCUGGUGGAAAGGGUUUGUACUGGUUCUUGAUGGGCUCACGUCCUAUCAGCUUGUUGGUGAGGUAAUGGCUUACCAAGGCGACGACGGGUAGCCGGCCUGAGAGGGUGACCGGCCACACUGGGACUGAGACACGGCCCAGACUCCUACGGGAGGCAGCAGUGGGGAAUAUUGCACAAUGGGCGCAAGCCUGAUGCAGCGACGCCGCGUGGGGGAUGACGGCCUUCGGGUUGUAAACCUCUUUCAGCAGGGAAGAAGCGAAAGUGACGGUACCUGCAGAAGAAGCGCCGGCUAACUACGUGCCAGCAGCCGCGGUAAUACGUAGGGCGCAAGCGUUGUCCGGAAUUAUUGGGCGUAAAGAGCUCGUAGGCGGUUUGUCGCGUCUGCUGUGAAAGCCCGGGGCUCAACCCCGGGUGUGCAGUGGGUACGGGCAGGCUGGAGUGCAGUAGGGGAGACUGGAAUUCCUGGUGUAGCGGUGAAAUGCGCAGAUAUCAGGAGGAACACCGAUGGCGAAGGCAGGUCUCUGGGCUGUUACUGACGCUGAGGAGCGAAAGCAUGGGGAGCGAACAGGAUUAGAUACCCUGGUAGU